CAGCCGCCACGGGAAUACGUAGGGUGCAAGCGUUAAUCGGAAUUACUGGGCGUAAAGCGUGCGCAGGCGGUUAUAUAAGACAGAUGUGAAAUCCCCGGGCUCAACCUGGGAACUGCAUUUGUGACUGUAUAGCUAGAGUACGGCAGAGGGGGAUGGAAUUCCGCGUGUAGCAGUGAAAUGCGUAGAUAUGCGGAGGAACACCGAUGGCGAAGGCAAUCCCCUGGGCCUGUACUGACGCUCAUGCACGAAAGCGUGGGGAGCAAACAGGAUUAGAUACGCCCGUAGUCCCUGUCUCUUAUAC
rnacentral:rRNA from 1 species